rnacentral:rRNA from 1 species
UACGUAGGGUGCAAGCGUUAAUCGGAAUACUGGGCGUAAAGCGUGCGCAGGCGGUGAUGUAAGACAGAUGUGAAAUCCCCGGGCUCAACCUGGGAACUGCAUUUGUGACUGCAUCGCUGGAGUACGGCAGAGGGGGGGAUGGAAUCCGCGUGUAGCAGUGAAAUGCGUAGAUAUGCGGAGGAACACCGAUGGCGAAGGCAAUCCCCUGGCCUGUACUGACGCUCAUGCACGAAAGCGUGGGGAGCAAACAGG